UAUCUUCUGUCGUGUUCGUGAACAGGCCGACAGAAACUUGAGCUUAUUUCCUGUAAAAAAGGGAGCUGACCGCGUUAUUGUGUGCAAGCCUGCUUGAAGCAGGAAGCCUGAUAUAACGUCCGCUGUUCCCACUUGAACCUCUGGUUCAAGUUUAACGCCUGUCACGGCACGACGGUUGAUAC
rnacentral:other from 1 species